AACUCAAAGGACUUGGCGGUGCAUUAAUCCACCCAGGGGAACCUGGCCCUUAAUUCGAUGAUCCGCGAACUUCUUACCUUCUCUUGUGUAAAUAUGCCCCGAGGGGGGCAUAUUUAUAUCAGUUUGCAUACCGCCGUUUUCAGCUUAUGUCGUGAGAUAAUAGAAAUAGGCUAUUCAGCAGUGGGACACGUUACCUUUAAGGGUACAGCGUUGCUAGGAAUUCAGGUAAAAGUGUAGCCUAUGGGAAGGGGGCUGCUGGGUUACAAUUGAGGUUUGAAAUGGAAUGCGGUCUGAAAUGGCCCCAUGAAAGAGUACUUGGAAGUAAUGACUUUUAGGCAAUGGAGUCGUGAAUAGUGCUCUAGUGUGUGUACAAAUCGCCCGUCACUCUCU
rnacentral:rRNA from 1 species